GUCUGUGGCCAUGCCGCCCUGAACAAGCCCAAUCCCAUCUGAACUCAGAAGCUGAGCAGGGUCGGGCCUGGUAAGUACUUAGAUGAGAGACCACCUAGGAAGACCAGGUGCCGUAGGCA
rnacentral:rRNA from 1 species